UCCUUUUCACAGUGGCAGUAUUGUAGCCAGUGGGGUUAAUCUGAGACGAGAUUAUUGCUAAUUGAAAACUUUUCCCAAUACCCUGCCAUGAUGACUUGAAAUAUAGUUGGCAUACUUAAUUCAGAGGUGGGGACCU